rnacentral:tRNA from 1 species
GCCUGGGUGGCUCAGUCGGUUAAAGUGUCCGACUUCGUUUCAGGUCAUGAUCCCGCAGUUCGUGGGUUCGAGCCCCACAUCGGGCU